AGGAAAUUAUGAUUAAUAUGACUGAACAAAUCAUUUUAAAUGGAACUGUAAGUAAACUUAUACUCUGUUAUAUUAUGUUUAAUAGGCAAUAUGAGUUCAUAAGAAGAAAUUGUGUGACAAGAGAAAGGAGUAAUAAAAUGUUAAUGAACACCAUUCCAACUGGGCAGGAACAAAUGGGUUGUGGACUGUGUAAACACAUAAGGUCGUUAGCCUAUGGUUGACCCAACCUGAAACUUAGCUCUGGGGUUUUUAGAUAAGGCAGUGAGUGCAUUCCUAGGGUUUCUGUUAAUUAAAACUGUCAGUUCAGUGGUGAUCGAUAAUGUUGAGGGGUCAAAAGUUAUCUGGGAGUGUGUUAGUAAGUUAGAAUGAACUUUUCACCUUACUUUGUCCUGUCGAGAGGAGGGGGUUCGGUUAAGGCAGUGAAAUGACGUCAUGAUCUGUAUUUAAACUGAUGCAUGUGUUUGAGUGGGAGCGCGCUCCGAGAAUAAAUUCUAUUACCUAUUAUUUAAAGACUGGUCUGCGUCUAUUUUAUGCAAACAAGAAAUCUUACAAAUAAUCAUAAAAUAGAUGAAGGGCUUUCAAUUGAUGAAAGCACAUUGGCUUAAUUAAAUUAUACUAACAAUUGGUCCUUCGAGUGGAUUCCACAAACUUCUCUGUCGUCCGAAGGGAAAAGCUGAAAACCGUGCGCACGGACGAGGUUGGACUCGUAGUUUAAAAGUCCUGGCCUCCAGCAGAGGUUUAAUAACAGGCCGGUAUAUAUAUCUUAGGUCGACAGAGAACGUGACGGAAUCGAACCGGCAUUGCUUUUCCCAGUCUACAGGACGAAGGUAAAUAGUCUUUAUUCUCGAAUUUGGGAGGAAUUAUUUAAGAUAUUUUUGAUUGAAGGUGCUAAAGGAGUUUGGAUUUAAUCAAUGAUAGUUGCUUGAAUAUUUUGAACAAAUACAAUGGGUUUCUACUUUGUGGGUAACCAAAAUCGAUAGGAAGGAAGCGAGUCUGAAAUGACUCGUGGUAAGGUGCACUACCGAAAGUAAACUAGGACUUAAUCAAUCUUGGCCUUGCAAACCGAAAGAUUUUUUAAGGGUGGGAUAUAGUAAGUAUUGUUAGAUGGGACGUUCAUUCUGUACAAAUAGGAUAGCCAUUAAUUCAAUAAACAUACCUAAAUAAAGUUUUUACCUAAUAGUCUAUCUGUAAUAUGGGAAGUAGUCUGACUAUGAAAAGUAUCAGAUAGAUAUGUUAAAACAGGUGAGGAUAAAUUAGGCUUGGUGAGGAGGCAGAGCAAUUCUAGGCGAACCUAAUCACUGAACCCAUUCAAUACUGAAAGAGAUUAAUAUCCAGGGAGGAGAGGGAAACUAAUUCUAGAAGUAGUGAGAUAUGAGAUAUUAAUUAACGUUGAAAGUCCCAAGGAACAAUAGUUUAUAAUGAGCUUAUAAUUGUAUACGGGUGAAAUGUAAUGUCCAAAUCAAAAGUCAACUAUAGAUGAGGUUUCCAGGAAGGAGAAUACAUACAGAUUAUCAUUAAAGAGAGGAUCUGUACCCCCUAAUAGAGUUACCCAAUCCCCAGGCGGGGGAGGGAGAUCAUGAACCUAUUGUUCGGGUCUAUAGACCUUGGACGCAGAGAGACGUAGAAAAGGCAGUAGAAGGUAUCCCCCACCCGAAGACAGGAAUGGCAGGUUUUGAGAGAGAUCUGAAUGGACUAGUUUCCAGUUUCAGGCUAAACACAGGGGAGGUGGAAAGAGCAGUUAGAACCAUGGUGGGAAAGGAUUGGUUUGCUGUGCGCGGGGCCUGGGUGCCAACAGGGAAUAAUGGGGACAUUAUACAGUGGAGCGCGGGACCUGGAGAGCCAUCCAGAGCAAACAUUACAGAAGUAAUCUAGUCGAUCAAAUAGUGGUGGUGAGAAUACGGCUGCAGGAGCUACUUGCGGGAUUAUCACCCAUAUAUGUGAAUCCUGCUGAAGCCGAGGGAGGUGUAAUAGAGGUAGAAAAAGGAAUAAAGACGAGAAAAGAGGAGAAAAGAGGAUAAGGCGAGUCAAAAGAAAAAGAGAAAAUGUUUUAAUUGUAACGAAAUUGGACAUUUCGCCCGGGAGUGUAACACUCCCUGCAAAAGACGUCACCACCAAUAUUGUAGUUUAACUGAGGGAAAGGUCAGAGACGACAAUCGGGUAAAGAAAAAGAAGGGUUAGAUCCAAAGGGAGCGAGAUUAAUGAGAAUCAUAACUGAGGGAAAAUGUUGGGCGUUUAAAUUAGUUAUAUUUUCUGUUGUUCAGAUGCUGGAGUAACAAAUACAGAUAACUGUAAAUUGGGUCUAUUUGCGGAGAAUCUCAGUUCCAUAGCAUUGGUGGUAUAGUGGUGAGCGUAGCAGUCUCACAACCUGCAGUCCAGGGUUCGGUUGCUGAGGCGUAAAAAAAUAAUAAUAAUAUAUAUAUAUCUGAGUUUUUGGUUGUAAUUAAACUAAUUGUUUAGCAGAGAAAGUUAUAGUCACUAGUAUUGGUAUAACAGAUAAACUGAACGUGUUAAAUAGUUUGUUUGGGACAAACUGAAAGACUAAUUCAUUCAACUUAAAAUAAGAACGAAGCGAAUUUUGAUGCAAGACGAUGUCUGUUCACUAAAUUAUCUGUUGGGAAUAAUAUAUUGAGAAUAGAGUUGUAAUUAAAAUGCUAAAUCAAAGACGAGACAGUAAUUCAAAUCAAAUUAAUUGUGAAUAAUAACGGGGAAACAAUUACGAUAGAUUUGUGUCCAUCGAAAUGUUUUUAUAAAAUUAGCGAAUUGAUUGAUGUUGUAAACUCUAAUUCAGGAUUCAACAGAUGUGAUAAAUCAGGUUUGGUUUAUCGGACCCAAAAUACUGUUGCUGCAGACAGCCAACCAUUAUUUACAAUUAAUUGAAAAUCGUUGCGAAAUGAGUCGAGGUUGAGCGCUUGUUGAUGACAUCACUCGCGAGGCUUUCGUCGCCACGGAAAUGAUGUCGUGACUGGGGGUAACGGAGAGAAUGCUUCGUGUCUUUUAGAAGAAAAAUGCGUGCAUUAUUAUUGAGUCACUUUUCAGAAGUUGAUAAAAAUGUCGAAAUACAUUUUUAAAAGGAGUAUGUAAAUCGUCAGGAAAGAUGCAAAAAACUAGCAGCUGAUUCGCUAGAUUUUAUGCACUACAGGUGAAUUACAGGUGAAGUCACUCAAUCCAAUCCCUGAGGCCUGUUGGGGGUACCAUACCAAUGACUCCUGGGGACAGCUAGCAGAAAGAAAUACCCGGAUUCAUAUCACACUGCGGGAGGGUAAGACACCUUGUCACUGUCGAACAAUAACAGAGUUCGAGAGGAGAACUGGAAUUAACAGAAUUCUGGGGGCCAUCUCUCGAAUGAAAAAUACCUUACCUGUCCUUUCCUCACUGUUCUUGUUCAUAGAAGUGAAAAUGUGUCUGACUCUUGCUAAUGAUGUGUUUUCUGGAAGAGGGUGGGGCUUUAUAGGUGAGCUGUCCAUCCUAAGCUGUAUGGUUGGAGAUCUUAUUCCUACAACAUGAACCCGAGAAGGCCAGAGGGUAAUAUUGACAUAAUUAAAUGAGAAAUUAGUAUUAACCAAGCAUAAGAGAUUACUUGAUCUGGAUAAACAGGAUGGUUGAGAUCUGGGGAUUUCAGUAAGAUAAGGAGACUCAGGGCUCACAUCUGUUGAAUGUGUGGGAGAAUGACAUGAUGGCGGAGUAUUACUGGCUAAUUGAACAGAGGUAUGUGUACUGAAACAUUUUGAGAAUGCCUUUUACGCUCAUUCAACACCAUGACAUGGUGUUGACUAAACGGGAGAAAAGAAGUACUCCGACUGGGUCUUUUGAUGAUAGGGUUUGUAUUAAUAACAUUGUGGAUCCAAGGGUGGCAGAUGAGAUCAAAGCUAUAAAUUAGAUCCUGGCAGGAUUAGAGUCAAGUAUUUUUUGGUGGUCCACUCUCAAUGAGAAUGUGGAUUGGAUCAAUUAUAUCUAUUAAAAAUCCACAGCGCUUCACCAAUUAUUUUAGAGAUGUAAUGAAUGACUUGGCAGAAUAGAAUAGUCUUGGAUGUUUGCUGGCUGAAGAGGGUGGGAGUGUAUAGGUAGUUUGACUCCAGGAUAUACAGUUAGGAUGGAUCAGUGACCAAGGCCUUGUCUGGUUUACACACCCUAGUUCACGAGUUGGAAAUAAACUCAGGGGUGGAUACUUCUUUGGCUAAUUGGGUUGACAGUGUGUUUGAAAGAUGGAAAAAUGUUAUGAUUACUGUGUUAUGGGCUACCUUCACCUGUGUGACUGUGUUAGUUUUGUACGGACGUGGUUGAUUGCGUGUAUGUAUGAAAGUUAUCAUUUCCAGGACUCUGGCGAAAUCGAUGACACUUCAGAUGGAGAUAUAUGGACCAAUCCUAAACUCUGACCAGUGGAAUACAAAAUACAUGGCUUGGACGUAAUAGAAGAAUCCGGAUCAUUUCACUCGCGAGGAGACCAUAUUUGAUGUUUAGGAAACUUAGAUGUUUUCUUAUUUCAAUGUAUAGACUGUUUUUUCAUGAAGAUUAACAGAAAAUCCUGAUAAGUAGAAUUAAGAUUCUGAUGUAGGAUAGAACAGUCAUGGAAGUUGAUUAUGUACAUACAUGUAUUGGUUGUCUUCUUUUAGUAUCAUUGAUAUUUCCAUGUAGUGUUUAAUGUUGGUAUGAGUUGUUAAGUCAUUUUGAGGGUGGAUUGUUAGGAAAUUAUGAUUAAUAUGACUGAACAAAUCAUUUUAAAUGGAACUGUAAGUAAACUUAUACUCUGUUAUAUUAUGUUUAAUAGGCAAUAUGAGUUCAUAAGAAGAAAUUGUGUGACAAGAGAAAGGAGUAAUAAAAUGUUAAUGAACACCAUUCCAACUGGGCAGGAACAAAUGGGUUGUGGACUGUGUAAACACAUAAGGUCGUUAGCCUAUGGUUGACCCAACCUGAAACUUAGCUCUGGGGUUUUUAGAUAAGGCAGUGAGUGCAUUCCUAGGGUUUCUGUUAAUUAAAACUGUCAGUUCAGUGGUGAUCGAUAAUGUUGAGGGGUCAAAAGUUAUCUGGGAGUGUGUUAGUAAGUUAGAAUGAACUUUUCACCUUACUUUGUCCUGUCGAGAGGAGGGGGUUCGGUUAAGGCAGUGAAAUGACGUCAUGAUCUGUAUUUAAACUGAUGCAUGUGUUUGAGUGGGAGCGCGCUCCGAGAAUAAAUUCUAUUACCUAUUAUUUAAA